rnacentral:rRNA from 1 species
CCUACGGGAGGCUGCAGUGGGGAAUAUUGGACAAUGGGGGCAACCCUGAUCCAGCCAUGCCGCGUGUGUGAAGAAGGCCCUCGGGUUGUAAAGCACUUUCAGUGAGGAAGAACGCCUGGUGGUUAAUACCCAUCAGGAAAGACAUCACUCACAGAAGAAGCACCGGCUAACUCCGUGCCAGCAGCCGCGGUAAUACGGAGGGUGCGAGCGUUAAUCGGAAUUACUGGGCGUAAAGCGCGCGUAGGUGGCUUGAUAAGCCGGUUGUGAAAGCCCCGGGCUCAACCUGGGAACGGCAUCCGGAACUGUCAAGCUAGAGUGCAGGAGAGGAAGGUAGAAUUCCCGGUGUAGCGGUGAAAUGCGUAGAGAUCGGGAGGAAUACCAGUGGCGAAGGCGGCCUUCUGGACUGACACUGACGCUGAGGUGCGAAAGCGUGGGUAGCAAACAGGAUUAGAUACCCUGGUAGUC